GACGAACGCUGGCGGCGUGCUUAACACAUGCAAGUCGAACGAUGAAGCCUAGCUUGCUAGGUGGAUUAGUGGCGAACGGGUGAGUAAUACGUGAGUAACCUACCUUUAACUCUGGGAUAAGCCUGGGAAACUGGGUCUAAUACCGGAUACGACCAAUCUCCGCAUGGGGUGUUGGUGGAAAGCGUUAUGUAGUGGUUAUAGAUGGGCUCACGGCCUAUCAGCUUGUUGGUGAGGUAACGGCUCACCAAGGCGACGACGGGUAGCCGGCCUGAGAGGGUGACUGGCCACACUGGGACUGAGACACGGCCCAGACUCCUACGGGAGGCAGCAGUGGGGAAUAUUGCACAAUGGGCGCAAGCCUGAUGCAGCGACGCCGCGUGAGGGAUGACGGCCUUCGGGUUGUAAACCUCUGUUAGCAGGGAAGAAGAGAAAUUGACGGUACCUGCAGAGAAAGCGCCGGCUAACUACGUG
rnacentral:rRNA from 1 species